UACCAGCACCCCGAGUGGUCGGGGCGAUUAUUGGGCCUAAAGCAUCCGUAGCCGGUUCUACAAGUCUUCCGUUAAAUCCACCUGCUUAACAGUUGGGCUGCAGAGGAUACUAUAGAGCUAGGAGGCGGGAGAGGCAAGCGGUACUUAGUGGGUAGGGGUAAAAUCCGUUGAUCCACUGAAGACCACCAGUGGCGAAGGCGGCUUGCCAGAACGCGCUCGACGGUGAGGGAUGAAAGCUGGGGGAGCAAACCGG
rnacentral:rRNA from 1 species